GAGAGAGGAAGGAAGGAAAGGAGAAAGAAAGGAAGGAAGAGAGAAAGAAAGGAAGGAAGAGAGAAAAAAGGAAGGAAGAGAGAAAGGAAGGAAGAAAGAAAGAAAGGAAGCGAGCAAGAAAGAAAGGAAAUAUUGAUAGUUGAAAGAAAGGAAGGGAAGAAGAAAGAAAGAAAGAAAGAAGAGAGAGAAGAAAGGAAGGAAACCAAGGAGAGGAAAGAAGGAAAAGAAAGGAAAGAAAAUAAAUGGAAAGGAAGGAGGAAAAAAAUAAAAAAAGAGAAAGGAAGAAAGAAAGAAAGGUAGAGAAGAAAGAAAGGAAGGAAGGAAGGAAAAGAUUGAUGGCUGUAAGGAAGGAACGAAGGAGGAAAGAAACCAAGGAGGAAGGAAAGUUUGAUGGAUGGAUUUAAGGAAGAAGGAAGGAGGGAAGUAAGGAAGGGAGGACAUGUAGAUAGUGAAGGAAUAAAUAACGGAGAUCGGAUAGGAGGAAGGAAGAAUUUAAAGGAAGCCAAGAAGGAAGAUACUGCAGGUAAAAGUAAAGAAAGUAGGAAGGAGGAAGGAAAAAGGAAGAAAGGUGAGAAAAUAAAGAGUGGAUAAGGAAGUAAUGGAAGAGAAGGAGGGAAAAGUAGAUGAGGAAAUAGGGAGGUAGGAAAGCAAGUAAAGGAAGAAAAGGAAGAAAAAGUAGGUGAGGAAAUAGGGAGGCAGGAAAGGAAGUAAAGGAAGAAACUAAAAAAAGAAGAAUGGAUUAAGAGCAAAAAAGAGGAAGGUAGGAAGGAAGGGAGGGAGUGAGUGAGGGUGCAAGAUGGUGUGUGCUAUGCGUGAGGGAGGGAACAAAGAGGAGACGGAGGAAGGGAUGGAGGAAAGGGAGGGAGGAAGUGCAGUGAAUAAUGAGAGGAAGAAGAGGAGGAAGAAGGGCGUGGAUGAAGGAUGAAGGAAGUGUAGUGAAUAAUGAGAGGAAGAAGAGGAGGAAGAAGGGCGUGGAUGAAGGAUGAAGGAAGUGUAGUGAAUAAUGAGAGGGAGAAGAGGAGGAAGAAGGGCGUGGGUGAAGGCUGGGGAGGUGAAGGGAGGGAAAGGAGAGUGAUAGGAUACACACCUUUACCUCAUCCAUUCAAGAAAACAAUUAGUAAAGUAGGAAAUGCAAACUCGUACACAUGAACACACACACACACACACCUGAUAUAAAUUGCAUCAAGGUAAGUAAUUCUAAUCAUACAUACCACACACACACACACACACACACACACACACACACACACACACACACACACACACACACACACACACACACACACACACACACACACACACACACACACA